rnacentral:lncRNA from 1 species
GAUCACCACCGAGACCCUGGGACAGGGGCCUACCCACGUCACCGCUCAGUGAAUUUGCCUGGCUUUUUGGGUGUCGGCGACUAACUGAUGUGACCCAGGUUGGGGAAGCCAGUAGAAGCGGAAACAGCAGGUAUCCCAGGACGCCCAAGCCGGAAGUGAGGGCGGCCAUGAAGCCAGAGUCGCAGCCCAGCAGGAGAGGGCAGCUGACCAGGAAAUGUGACAGCGCCUCCACUGGUGAGGACGUGAACUGGACACGUGACGGCCCCUGGAUCCUGGAUGCGUUGGUGGCAUCCCCAGCAGGUGACUUUGAACUAGCGGAUGUGGAUGGAAGGAACCUGAACUGUGUGGAGGCUGAUACUGCAGAUUGCCAACAGGACCACUCUGCCAACAGGGCAGGAUGCCAGACGACCUAACCUCACCUCAGGACACUAGAUUCACAGCAAGUCUGAACAGAAGGCAAACAAGAAGAAUUCUAAGGCUUCAGCAAUUAAGAUUAUCAGUAAGGCCAGGAGCAAAGACGAAAGAAACCUGAGAGGAGAUAUGGUGAAGGAGAAGCAGCCCAAAAACAGAUGGGACUUGCCUGGGCUUGCCCAGUUCUUAGGCCUAGUCUCCUGAACUGUUGAUGUUCUGAAGCCUGUCAUGGAGUCAGCCCAGCCUUCUCAUUUGGACCAUAUUCUCCUCACUAUGUGCUGGUUAGUUUCUUGACACAAACUAAGGUUGUCUGGGAAGAAGAAACUGCGGGCAAUGCUGGGAAGUAACUAAGGACAUCAUGUAGCCGAGGAAGGCACUCUACAAACUCAGUUGAAUCCCCAGGCAGGGGAGAUAUCUGAAGGAGGUGGUCCCUGAGCCUGGAAGCAAGCAGAAGAAACCAUGGUUUCUGCAUCAAGCCCUGCAUGCUGCGACAGGGAUCCAGAGAUGAACAUCUGCUUUUGGUGAGAGAUGGAGCCCUGGUCCAGCAUGAAGUCAGUCAAUCCACCUACCAGGGCAUCUGCCUGGGUAUUCACCAACAGACAUGGGUGCAGACAGAGCUGAAGUCACCCGGCCACCCAGGCCAGCUCCCUCACCCAGGUCUGAUAGCUGACUUUAGGUAA